rnacentral:rRNA from 2 species
UGGGGAAUUUUGGACAAUGGGGGCAACCCUGAUCCAGCCAUUCCGCGUGAGUGAAGAAGGCCUUCGGGUUGUAAAGCUCUUUCGGCCGGGAAGAAAUCGCAUCUCCUAAUACGGGGUGUGGAUGACGGUACCGGAAGAAGAAGCACCGGCUAACUACGUGCCAGCAGCCGCGGUAAUACGUAGGGUGCGAGCGUUAAUCGGAAUUACUGGGCGUAAAGCGUGCGCAGGCGGCUCACUAAGACAGAUGUGAAAUCCCCGGGCUUAACCUGGGAACUGCGUUUGUGACUGGUGGGCUUGAGUGCGGCAGAGGGGGGUGGAAUUCCACGUGUAGCAGUGAAAUGCGUAGAGAUGUGGAGGAACACCGAUGGCGAAGGCAGCCCCCUGGGUCGACACUGACGCUCAUGCACGAAAGCGUGGGGAGCAAACAGG